CUUAUGAAGAAAGGUGGAGGGAUAGGCCCUUUGAAACCUUGGCAACCUGUUCGUAUAGAAAAAGGUGCCAAAUCCGAUCUCUUUUACGGGAAAAGAUAAG
rnacentral:ncRNA from 1 species